GUCGAGGAUCUUCCGCAAUGGGCGAAAGCCUGACGGAGCGACACCGCGUGCAGGAUGAAGGCCUUCGGGUUGUAAACUGCUGUCACGCUAUAGGAAACCCUGAAUGUGAACAGCAUUCAGGCUGACUAAAGCGAGAGGAAGCACCGGCUAACUCUGUGCCAGCAGCCGCGGUAAUACAGAGGGUGCAAACGUUGCUCGGAAUCACUGGGCAUAAAGCGCACGUAGGCGGUCUACUAAGUCUGGUGUGAAAUCCCUCGGCUCAACCGGGGAACUGCAUUGGAUACUGGUAGGCUUGAGAGUUGUAGGGGUGGACGGAACUCCAGGUGGAGCGGUGAAAUGCGUAGAUAUCUGGAGGAACACCGGAGGCGAAAGCGGUCCACUGGGCAACUUCUGACGCUGAGGUGCGAAAGCUAGGGUAGCAAACGGGAUUAGAUACCCUGGUAGUCC
rnacentral:rRNA from 1 species